rnacentral:rRNA from 1 species
AGCCUUUAGCACACCAAGCAUUAAAGGUCCUGCCUGCCCAGUGAAAAACUUUCAACGGCCGCGGUAUCCUAACCGUGCAAAGGUAGCAUAAUCACUUGUCCCCUAAAUAGGGACUAGAAUGAAUGGCCAAACGAGGGCCUAACUGUCUCAUAUAGCCCACCAAUAAACCUGAUCUCUCAGUACAAAAGCUGAGAUAAACACAUUAGACAAGAAGACCCUGUGGAGCUUUAAGCCCUGGUGCUAAAACCGCCAACAUUAGCACACGCUUUUAGUUGGGGCGACUAUGGAGCAAAACAAAACCUCCACGACACAACCUAAGACCAACACGUCUAAACCAACACUAAGACCCAGUAAAACUGACCACCGAACCAAGUUACCCCAGGGAUAACAGCGCCAUCCUCCCCAAGAGUCCUUAUCGCCAGGAGGGCUUACGACCUCGAUGUUGGAUCAGGACACCCAGGUGGUGUAGCCGCUACCAAAGGUUCG